CCCUUAAUUCCUUAAACACUUUCUACAGUUCUACCUCUCUUUGUUCGAUUUCUUCUUCUUCGUCGUUCUCCUUCAUCCUUUUCAUCAUCAUUCUUUGGAGAUUUUGUUUCUGAAUUUUUGAUUGGGUCUUUGAAUUAGAGAUAAGAGAAAUUGCUGAAUGGGUCUUUGAAUUGGAGAUGAGAAAAAUUGGCGAAUCGUGUUUCUGAAUUGGCGAGAAGAACAAGGUUGCAUAUCUAGUGCAGGGAUUGCUGCAAAUAUGCUUAUGGCUUGUCUUGCCACCAGAACUGCUAAACCAGAUGGUCAAUGCUAAAUUUCUCCGGAUAAGGUCGAUGAGUAUCUGUUACAACUCCCUAUAAAUACACUUCCAGGUAUUGGACAUGUGUUGGAGCAAAAGUUGAAAAAGAAAGGAGUUCAGACUUGCGGCCAGCUGCGAAUGUUUCCCAAGGAGGCUUUACAUAGGGACUUCGGAACAAAGACCGGUGAAAUGUUGUGGAAUUACUCCAGAGGUGUUGAUAACCGGCUAGUUGGAGUCAUUCAGGUUUGGCAUAAUAUAUGACACUAGUUUGUUGCGCCUCUUUGGUUUACUUAAAUUUUGUAUGGUGGUUGCUUAUGAGGAAUUGAGAGGUUACUUGGGAUGGAGUUACGUCUUGCAGCAAGACUAGCUACAGAAAACUUUAGUGGUUCACAUAUUCCUUAUUCGUUCUUUAGUAUCUUUAGUGGUUCACAAUUAUAUGUAUGGACACACCAGUUCAGUGAAAUGCACUCCAAAGUUUAACUUCCCACACUUACUCCACCUGGUUGUCCCCCAAACAUACCAAAGUAGCUUCUCUUUAUAAUGUUUUCUGAUACAAAUUGUUGGUUUGUUUGAUUUUUUGGAUAAUGCGUCAUGUGAAGCAGUAUAAAUGACUUUAAUGGUACAUAGUUGUUGUCAACUUGUCAAUUUUUCCUAGUCAAGAAAAUAACCUAAUACUACGUUCAUUUUGGAGUUGUUUGUUCUGGUUGUGAGUCUGCAACAAUUUUGCUGGUUCUGUUGGAGUUGUUUUUUCUAGUUGUGACUCUGCAAUGUGUUUUUAGUUAGAAUAUUCUGACCUGCUAGUAGUUGUUCAGUUCCGCAAGGGUGGCUAGUAGUUGUUAAGUUUCGCAAGGGUGGCUAUUCAGUUCCAGAUAGCAAAUUCUGAUGUGCUAGUAGCUUUUCAGAUUCUAAUGUGCAGGUUGUUGAUCAAUUCUGUAAGGUUCUGAUCUUCCAGAAUGGUUUGUUCUCGUUGUCAGUCUAGUAAAAUCCUGCGAUAGAAGUCGUGCAACUUUGAUGUGUUUAAGCUACUGCUUUGCAGGAUUGCAACAAGUUUUUUGCUCCCUGCAAUUAGUUUGUUUUGUUCAGCCAGGUGGUUUUAAGCUACGGCUUUGCAGGAUUGCAAUAAGUUAUUUGCUCCCUGGAACUAAUUUUUUU